rnacentral:rRNA from 1 species
ACCAACAGUAUUAAAGGUGAUGCCUGCCCAGUGAAAUUUUAAACGGCCGCGGGAUCCUCCACCGUGCAAAGGUAGCAUAACCACUUGUCCCCUAAAUAGAGACUAGUAUGAAUGGCCACAUGAAGAUUUACCUGUCUCUUGUAGAUAAUCUAUGAAACUGAUCUCCCAGUACAAAAGCUGGGAUAUACACACAAGACGAAAAGACCCUGUGGAACUUUUAAACGGCCGCCACACCCAUGGCACUAACCGCUUUCAGUUGGGGCAACUAUGGAAAAAACAAAACUUCCACUUUACACCUCAGGUGGACACACCUAUCUUUCUCCCUUCUAUGACCCAGUAUUACUGAGAAAAGAACCAAGCUACCCCAGGGAUAACAGCGCCAUCCCCUCUUAGAGCCCCCAUCGACGAGGGGGUUUACGACCUCGAUGUUGGAUCAGGGCCCCCAAACAGUGCAGCAGCUGUUAACGGUUUGUUUGUUCAACAAUUAAUGCCCUACGCGAUCUGAGUUAAGACCGGAGCAAUCCA